UAGGAGGCAGCAGUGAGGAAUUUUCCGCAAUGGGCGAAAGCCUGACGGAGCGACGCCGUGUGUGCGAUGAAGUCCUUCGGGAUGUAAAGCACUGUCAGUGGGGAAGAUAUUGACGGUACCCACAGAGGAAGGCCCGGCUAACUACGUGCCAGCAGCCGCGGUAAUACGUAGGGGCCAAGCGUUGUCCGGAAUUAUUGGGCGUAAAGGGCGUGUAGGCGGCCUGAUAAGUCAGAUGUUAAAUCUACAGGCUCAACCUGUAGCCGCAUUUGAUACUGUCGGGCUAGAGAGUGGUAGAGGAAAGUGGAACUUACGGUGUAGCGGUGAAAUGCGUAGAUAUCGUAAGGAACACCAGUGGCGAAGGCGACUUUCUGGGCCACUUCUGACGCUGAGACGCGAAAGCCAGGGGAGCAAACGGGAUUAGAUACCCCGGU
rnacentral:rRNA from 1 species